CCUACGGGGGGCAGCAGUGAGGAAUAUUGGUCAAUGGACGAGAGUCUGAACCAGCCAAGUAGCGUGAAGGAUGACUGCCCUAUGGGUUGUAAACUUCUUUUAUAUGGGAAUAAAAUGUUCCACGUGUGGGAUUUUGUAUGUACCAUAUGAAUAAGGAUCGGCUAACUCCGUGCCAGCAGCCGCGGUAAUACGGAGGAUCCGAGCGUUAUCCGGAUUUAUUGGGUUUAAAGGGAGCGUAGGUGGAUUGUUAAGUCAGUUGUGAAAGUUUGCGGCCCAACCGUAAAAUUGCAGUUGAAACUGGCAGUCUUGAGUACAGUAGAGGUGGGCGGAAUUCGUGGUGUAGCGGUGAAAUGCUUAGAUAUCACGAAGAACUCCGAUUGCGAAGGCAGUUCACUGGACUGCAACUGACACUGAGGCUCGAAAGUGUGGGUAUCAAACAGGAUUAGAUACCCCUGUAGUC
rnacentral:rRNA from 1 species